rnacentral:rRNA from 1 species
CGGCGGACGGGUGAGUAAUGUCUGGGAAACUGCCUGAUGGAGGGGGAUAACUACUGGAAACGGUAGCUAAUACCGCAUAACGUCGCAAGACCAAAGAGGGGGACCUUCGGGCCUCUUGCCAUCAGAUGUGCCCAGAUGGGAUUAGCUAGUAGGUGGGGUAACGGCUCACCUAGGCGACGAUCCCUAGCUGGUCUGAGAGGAUGACCAGCCACACUGGAACUGAGACGCGGUCCAGACUCCUACGGGAGGCAGCAUG